UACAGGCUUAACACAUGCAAGUCGAGGGGUAACGAGAGGAAAGCUUGCUUUCCUUGUCGACGACCGGCGCACGGGUGAGUAACGCGUAUCCAACCUGCCCACAACUAAGGAAUAACCUUGCGAAAGUAAGACUAAUACCUUAUAAUUUCCUCUGAAGGCAUCGGAUGAGGAAUAAAGAUUUAUCGGUUAUGGAUGGGGAUGCGUCUGAUUAGCUUGUUGGCGGGGUAACGGCCCACCAAGGCAACGAUCAGUAGGGGUUCUGAGAGGAAGGUCCCCCACAUUGGAACUGAGACACGGUCCAAACUCCUACGGGAGGCAGCAGUGAGGAAUAUUGGUCAAUGGGCGAGAGCCUGAACCAGCCAAGUAGCGUGAAGGAUGACGG
rnacentral:rRNA from 1 species